GUCGAAGGUGGGGCUGAUGACUGGGGUGAAGUCGUAACAAGGUAUCCGUACCGGAAGGUGCGGAUGGAUCACCUCCUAACAGGGAGACAACACAAUGAUUUUGAUGCCUGAGUGCUUUUAUUCUUAGGCCGAAAUCCUGUCACCUUAGGUCGAUCGGUACCUCAGCUUUGAAGUUAAGGAUCAGCAGCAAUGUUGAUUGCUUGAUGGAGAUUUUCAGUUCCUAAACUUUGUCUAGGUCACACCCCAAAAGGGAUGAGACUCCUGGGCCAUUAGCUCAGGUGGUUAGAGCGCACCCCUGAUAAGGGUGAGGUCCCUGGUUCAAGUCCAGGAUGGCCCAUUCGGUGUUGGGGGUUUAGCUCAGUUGGUAGAGCGCCUGCUUUGCAAGCAGGAUGUCAGGAGUUCGAGUCUCCUAACCUCCACUGACCGAACUUGAUUCCCAUCUCCAAUUCUUUUGGAGUUGAGCUCGAUUGGAGUGUGAUUUAGAUGUGUCCGCUGGAUGAUCCCAGCUUCCUGUCAUUCCAAGUUUUAGGUUGAAGCCUUGGAUUUGGUUGAUAAGAUGCUGGGCUCGAAUCAAGUGAUCAAGUAAUUGAUGAUUUGAUUUGAAGUUCUAGCAGAACCUUGACAACUGCAUAGGUGAGUCUGGAAAAAACAAAGCAUCUUACAGAUGCAUUGUUUUGAAUCUGAUCUUCUGAAAGGGAGAUUGGAUCUAGAACAAUGAAAAUUCUUUUGAGCAAGAGCCGAGACUCCUGAACGUUCUUUGAUUCGUGUCGAGCGAAUCAGAGUUUGAUCUUGUUUUUAGCAAUAAAAACUUGAGAAUCUGCUUUCAACGGCGGUAAGCGUUCAGGAGGUUAAUUGGUCAAGCUACAAAGGGCUCA
rnacentral:misc_RNA from 1 species